UGGACGCCCCUCCAGACACCAAAGCUACCGGCCCCCGCCUGCUUCGCUGCUACGACUAUAGAGAAGGGGGCUUGGGAAGGGAAGAUAACGCCUUUCCCACUUUCUCUCCUUUGGGCCCCUUUGGAAACAUUAAACAAUGUUUACGCUUUUCGACAGUUGAGAUAGAACGGUUGGAAGCUUGUUGAAAGUUGAAACGAAAUGCACUCUUCCACAUUGUUAAAUGCAUUACUGUCUGUAUGGCUUUCUGGUCCUUUUCCACCACCCACCUCACGCCCCCCGCUACCCCCCUCUCCCCGCAGCUGUUAUCCUGUUUAAGGAUGCUGAAGAGGCAGGAGGCAGGGAUUUUCUAAAAGUUCUAUUGAUAAACACACUUGCACAAACAUAUGCUAGGCACACACACAAACUAUAAACAUUAGCGAAAAACACAAUAUGGCGUACAGCUACACUACCUAGCGCGGUAAUCCGCUGAUCUCUUAACACUGAACUCAGUUGAAUGGGGUCAGUAGCAGGAUGACAGUUCUUAAAUAAAAAUCUCAAAAGAAACAGGAAGUAAUUUGGAAGUCUGUGGGUUAAAUAAUGUCCUCAGAAUCAGCAGCGGCACACGUAAACUUUCUAGACCUGUGGAAAUUGUCUUCACCACUUAGUAUUAAUGGUAAAUGAUGCUAAAAAGUGUGCUGAAAUGCUAAAGUGGAGGGUUUCUCACUGCCUGGUCUUGUAAUAAAUUUCAGCUAAUAGAAUUAACAGGCUAUUCGUUCCCCGACGUUUUCAAGCGAGUUCUAUUCCAAAGUUACUAUCGUUAACUUGUUGCUAGUGAAAGUUUGAAAACAAAUUGUAAGGACCAUUUUGUAAAUCAAUUCUUUAGCUGUAAACACUAAAUUUAAGCAGCUGUAUUAGCAAAUUCAAUUCAUAAAUGAUUUGCUUUAUUAUCUGUUGCUCCUAAUCCCGAAUACCAUUUGCUUUCACAUGGGAAUAGUUAAAAUAUUCCUUCCUCUGCUCCUCACUAAGUUUCAUCCAGCCAGAUUUGGCUACUUUAUGCAUUUCUGCUUUACAACUAGGUACUUUUAGGUUUCUAGGAGAGGGGCGGGGACAAUUUACAUUGAUUUUACAUGCCUUUGUUAGCUCUGGUCAUUCUUAGGAUAUAUUAAAGUUGGUGCACAAAAUAGUGCAUGGUGAUACCAUUGUGCCCUCUCAGGAAUGGUCUUCUCUCAAAAAAGCUUUUGGAAUUGCCCUUGAAGAAUUGCUGAUGUUACUCUUUGUUCAGGACUCAAGGUUUAAUUCCUAAGAUUGUGGUUGUGAUUUCCAUUAAGCUCAAUUUUGGAGGGCUUUAGGGUUAAGGCUCUAUGAUGCUCAAGUAAACUGUUGAAAGGAAGAAGAAAAGUGAAUUUUCUAGAAAUACAUUAGCUGCAGAGUGAGUCCAGCAGUUGGGUAUUUUUGGUUUUGUGAUUUCAGAUCUCACAGACCAGUGGAAUACAGGCCUUUUGCAUAUGAAGAUCAGGUGACAAGUUAACUGUCUACCAGCCUCCAAAGCAAUACGCCCUUUCAUGUCACACAAAAAGAAGUAUUAAGAGUUGCCCUUUGAGACUCUGAAGGCUGAAGAGUACUUGAUAAAUUGCACCAUCUGUCUGUGCCCCAUUGCUGCACAGACUGCCUGAAGUUACAUUUAGAGACUAAAAUCACUGCACCUUAAAAACAAAAGAUUGAGCUGCACUGCAUUCCUAAUGUUUAACCAUCACUAACUGGAUACUUCUCACAACAUUGCUGUCUGGUAGGGGGAAGAACAGAAGAGUUCUGUCUCAGCCAGAAUUUGGAAGGAAGAGACUAACUCAUCAGAGAGAGCAGUGGCUGGCACUUUUCCUCCACGCUUUGAGACAAAGAGAAUUGGCUGGAAUAAAACCUUGCUUUCCAUAUGGUCGACUUGAAUGAAAUACAGCAUUGAAAAGUUCCUUGACCAUCAGUCUGUGGCCUGCCACUUUUCUUUAU